AACAGAAUAAAACAGAAUAAAACAAUAUACAUCAAUAAGUAAGAUAAUACCAUAAAAAUAAUACAUAUAAAAUGGAUCUUACAGCUGUUUCAGCCUGUAGAUAAAGGUAUCUCAUUGGGCCUAUAUUAGUCAAAUGUAAUUGAGGUAAUAUGCACUUAAAAAGGAGUUACUUAUAUAUGUCUCAAGGCCUCGUCAGAGAUUAUAAAGUACAAUAAUAAAAGUAUAUAACAAACAAACAUAAAUAUGAA